CCUACGGGAGGCAGCAGUGGGGAAUAUUGCACAAUGGGGGAAACCCUGAUGCAGCGACGCCGCGUGAGCGAUGAAGUAUUUCGGUAUGUAAAGCUCUAUCAGAAGGGAAGAAAAUGACGGUACCUGACUAAGAAGCCGCGGCUAACUACGUGCCAGCAGCCGCGGUAAUACGUAGGGGGCAAGCGUUAGACGGAUUUACUGGGUGUAAAGGGAGCGUAGACGGCUGUGCAAGCCAGAUGUGAAAGCACGGGGCUAAACCCCGGGACUGCAUUUGGAACUGUGUGGCUGGAGUGUCGGAGAGGCAGGCGGAAUUCCUAGGGUAGCGGUGAAAUGCGUAGAUAUUAGGAGGAACACCAGUGGCGACGGCGGCCUGCUGGACGAUGACUGACGUUGAGGCUCGAAAGCGUGGGGAGCAAACAGGAUUAGAUACCCUAGUAGUC
rnacentral:rRNA from 1 species